GACGAACGCUGGCGGCGUGCUUAACACAUGCAAGUCGAACGGAAAGGCCUUUUCGGAGGUACUCGAGUGGCGAACGGGUGCGUAACACGUGGGUGAUCUGCCCUGCACUCUGGGAUAAGCCUGGGAAACUGGGUCUAAUACCGGAUAGGACCGCACUUUAGUGUGUGUGGUGGAAAGUUGUUUCGGUGUAGGAUGAGCCCGCGGCCUAUCAGCUUGUUGGUGGGGUAAUGGCCUACCAAGGCGGCGACGGGUAGCCGGACUGAGAGGUUGGUCGGCCACAUUGGGACUGAGAUACGGCCCAGACUCCUACGGGAGGCAGCAGUGGGGAAUAUUGCACAAUGGGCGCAAGCCUGAUGCAGCGACGCCGCGUGGGGGAUGACGGCCUUCGGGUUGUAAACUCCUUUCGCCAGGGACGAAGCGUUUUGUGACGGUACCUGGAGAAGAAGCACCGGCUAACUACGUG
rnacentral:rRNA from 1 species